AACUAACGCUGGCGGCGUGCCUAACACAUGCAAGUCGCACGAGAAAGUCACAAGAUGAGUAAAGUGGCGCAAGGGUGAGUAACACGUGAGCAACCUACCCCUUAGUUGGGGAUAACCAGCCGAAAGGUUGGCUAAUACCGAAUGGCGUCGCGGGGCUUCGGCUUUCGCGUCUAAAGAUGGCCUCUAUUUAUAAGCUAUCGCCAAGGGAUGGGCUCGCGCUGCAUUAGCUAGUUGGUGAGGUAACGGCUCACCAAGGCUACGAUGCAUAGCUGGUCUGAGAGGACGACCAGUCACACUGGAACUGAGACACGGUCCAGACUCCUACGGGAGGCAGCAGUGAGGAAUAUUGCGCAAUGGGGGAAACCCUGACGCAGCGACGCCGCGUGGAGGAUGAAGGCCUUCGGGUUGUAAACUCCUGUCGGGUGGGACGAAACUAUGGCGGGCUAAUAUCCCGCCGUACUGACGGUACCGCCAAAGGAAGCCCCGGCUAACUCUGUGCCAGCAGCCGCAGUAACAC
rnacentral:rRNA from 1 species